GAUUGUGGCUCAGUGGUAGAGCACUCACCUAGCACGGGUGAGGCACUGGGUUUGAUCCUCGGCACCA
rnacentral:tRNA from 1 species